GGCUCACCUAGGCGACGAUCCCUAGCUGGUCUGAGAGGAUGACCAGCCACACUGGAACUGAGACACGGUCCAGACUCCUACGGGAGGCAGCAGUGGGGAAUAUUGCACAAUGGGCGCAAGCCUGAUGCAGCCAUGCCGCGUGUGUGAAGAAGGCCUUCGGGUUGUAAAGCACUUUCAGCGGGGAGGAAGGCGUUAAGGUUAAUAACCUUGGCGAUUGACGUUACCCGCAGAAGAAGCACCGGCUAACUCCGUGCCAGCAGCCGCGGUAAUACGGAGGGUGCAAGCGUUAAUCGGAAUUACUGGGCGUAAAGCGCACGCAGGCGGUCUGUCAAGUCGGAUGUGAAAUCCCCGGGCUCAACCUGGGAACUGCAUUCGAAACUGGCAGGCUAGAGUCUUGUAGAGGGGGGUAGAAUUCCAGGUGUAGCGGUGAAAUGCGUAGAGAUCUGGAGGAAUACCGGUGGCGAAGGCGGCCCCCUGGACAAAGACUGACGCUCAGGUGCGAAAGCGUGGGGAGCAAACAGGAUUAGAUACCCUGGUAGUCCACGCCGUAAACGAUGUCGAUUUGGAGGUUGUGCCCUUGAGGCGUGGCUUCCGGAGCUAACGCGUUAAAUCGACCGCCUGGGGAGUACGGCCGCAAGGUUAAAACUCAAAUGAAUUGACGGGGGCCCGCACAAGCGGUGGAGCAUGUGGUUUAAUUCGAUGCAACGCGAAGAACCUUACCUGGUCUUGACAUCCACAGAACUUUCCAGAGAUGGAUUGGUGCCUUCGGGAACUGUGAGACAGGUGCUGCAUGGCUGUCGUCAGCUCGUGUUGUGAAAUGUUGGGUUAAGUCCCGCAACGAGCGCAACCCUUAUCCUUUGUUGCCAGCGGUUAGGCCGGGAACUCAAAGGAGACUGCCAGUGAUAAACUGGAGGAAGGUGGGGAUGACGUCAAGUCAUCAUGGCCCUUACGACCAGGGCUACACACGUGCUACAAUGGCAUAUACAAAGAGAAGCGACCUCGCGAGAGCAAGCGGACCUCAUAAAGUAUGUCGUAGUCCGGAUUGGAGUCUGCAACUCGACUCCAUGAAGUCGGAAUCGCUAGUAAUCGUAGAUCAGAAUGCUACGGUGAAUACGUUCCCGGGCCUUGUACACACCGCCCGUCACACCAUGGGAGUGGGUUGCAAAAGAAGUAGGUAGCUUAACCUUCGGGAGGGCGCUUACCACUUUGUGAUUCAUGACUGGGGUGAAGUCGUAACAAGGUAACCGUAGGGGAACCUGCGGUUGGAUCACCUCCUUA
rnacentral:rRNA from 1 species